UACGGAGGAUGCAAGCGUUAUCCGGAUUGAUUGGGCGUAAAGCGUCUGUAGGUGGUUACGCUAGUCGGCUGUUGAAGAUCAGGGCUGAACCCUGAGCAAGCAGUCGAAACUGCGUGGCUGGAGUACGGUAGGGGCAGAGGGAAUUCCCGGUGUAGCGGUGAAAUGCGUAGAUAUCGGGAAGAACACCAAAGGCGAAAGCGCUCUGCUGGGCCGAAACUGACACUGAGAGACGAAAGCUAGGGGAGCGAAUGGG
rnacentral:rRNA from 1 species